GACGAACGCUGGCGGCGUGCUUAACACAUGCAAGUCGAACGCUGAAGCUUGGUGCUUGCACUGGGUGGAUGAGUGGCGAACGGGUGAGUAAUACGUGAGUAACCUGCCCUUGACUCUGGGAUAAGCCUGGGAAACUGGGUCUAAUACUGGAUACGACAUGUCACCGCAUGGUGGUGUGUGGAAAGGGUUUUACUGGUUUUGGAUGGGCUCACGGCCUAUCAGCUUGUUGGUGGGGUAAUGGCUCACCAAGGCGACGACGGGUAGCCGGCCUGAGAGGGUGACCGGCCACACUGGGACUGAGACACGGCCCAGACUCCUACGGGAGGCAGCAGUGGGGAAUAUUGCACAAUGGGCGGAAGCCUGAUGCAGCGACGCCGCGUGAGGGAUGACGGCCUUCGGGUUGUAAACUUCUUUCAGCAAGGAAGAAGCGAAAGUGACGGUACGUGCAGAAGAAGCGCCGGCUAACUACGUG
rnacentral:rRNA from 1 species